rnacentral:rRNA from 1 species
UACGGAGGUGGCAAGCGUUGUUCGGAAUUACUGGGCGUAAAGGGCGCGUAGGCGGGGCGAUAAGUCGGGUGUGAAAUCCCUCGGCUCAACCGAGGAACGGCGCCCGAAACUGUCGCUCUUGAGUCCCGGAGAGGAAGGUGGAAUUCCCGGUGUAGCGGUGAAAUGUGUAGAGAUCGGGAGGAACACCGGUGGCGAAGGCGGCCUUCUGGACGGUGACUGACGCUGAGGCGCGAAAGCGUGGGGAGCAAACGGG